GCUACUGAGCGCAGCCCGAGGACGACACCUGCUGCUGAGCUGAUGAAGGCCCCCGGGCCGUAAAGCCCCCCCGUCUGGGAACAAGAAAGAUACGCGAAUAACGCAUCAAUCUGAGGGUACCAGAAGAAAAAGCACCGGCUAACUACGUGCCAGCAGCUGCGGUAAUACGUAGGGUACAAGCAUUAAUCGGAAUCAUUGGGCGUAAAGGGCGCGUAGGCGGGGACGUAAGUCAGAUGUGAAAUACCAAAGCUCAACUUUGGUGCUGCAUUUGAAACUGCGUUUCUUGAGGACUGAGGGAGAAAGCGGAAUUCCAUGAGUAGCGGUGAAAUGCGUAGAUACAUGGAGGAACACCGGUGGCGAAAGCGGCUUUCUACUUUUUACCUGACGCUGAGGCGCGAGAG
rnacentral:rRNA from 1 species